CCCAAUAUUUAUUUCUAUCGACAAAACACCGGUGUCUAGGCGAGGCGAGCAUGGGCACUAAAUAAUUAGGUUUGAAGCACCUUGAGAAUUGUAAUCGCCAAAUCCAAUCGACGAUGCCCUUGAAUAACGUACACUAUAGAGAUCAAGGAGGCAGCCUUUAAAUCGAUGAACUUAUACCGAUUACACAUAUAUCCCUCUAAAUCUUAUUUCUUCUUGUUUCUUCUAAUUCCUAUGAAUUGGCGUGAUUUUUGUGCACUGUUGUCUGUUGUUGGAGUUCGUUCACAAUAGAAAUUAGUGUACCUGUUGUAGUUCGAUUUGGUCCGAUUUUCCUUCUAUUUGAGUUCAAAAUUUGUUUAUUAAGUUAUGAUUUGCAAUUGAUUUUCUGAGAUUAUUCUGAAAGGUGAAGGAAGCAGAGGGAUAUAUUACAUUCAUUGUUGGAUUGAAGAUUUACUCAGUAUAUGGGGGUUUAGUGCUAUUCUGAUUUGUACAUCGGCUUUAGUCACUAAUAGGGUGAAGUCAUAAGCUCGUUGUUGAUCAUGUUGUUUGUGUGGUAUUCACAAGUUGUUUGCUAUUCUUGGUAAUACUCAGAAAGUAGGACACCAUGAUUGGUGUUUCAAAAAAGUUGACUGGUUUAGUUGUAUCAAAGUUCGUAGAUUUUGUUGUUUCAAGAAUGUUGUAAGACAUUGUUUUAAGCCAACUUUGUGUGUGUUAGUUUGUAUAGCAUCUUUAGAUAAAAGGUCUUAUAAUAUUGUUGAUUUCUAAAUUA